UACGAGGGGGGCAAAUGUUGUUCGGAAUCACUGGGCGUAAAGGGAGCGUAGGCGGGUUUCUAAGUCAGGUGUUUAAUCCCGGGGCCCAACCCCGGACAGGCACUUGAACUGGGAAUCUUGAAUAGUGGAGAGGUCAGUGGAAUUGGGGGUGUAGCGGUGGAAUGCGUAGGGAUCCCCAAGAACACCAGUUGCGAAGGCGGCUGACUGGACACAUAUUGACGCUGAGGCUCGAAAGCAUGGGGAGCAAACAGG
rnacentral:rRNA from 1 species